rnacentral:lncRNA from 1 species
GAUAAACACUCUUCAAAAGGAUUCUUAAUAACUCUAAGAUCUUUUGGAGGUCUUAGAAUCAAUGAAUGGAAUAGUUUAGAUUCCCCAAUAGCAUGGUCAGUGGUGUUCUUAUUCGAUGGAACCCAAGAAACUUUUCAUUGAAGAACUCGAUCAAAUUAUCUUUCUCUGUUUGUGGAGCUGUGCUACCAUCCUUUGAAUGGUUCUUAUCAAUAUAACUAAG